GACGAACCGUGCGAACGUUAUUCGGAAUCAUUGGGCUUAAAGCGCGUGUAGGCGGAUUCGUGCGUCUGUCGCUGAAAUCCCCCGGCUCAACCGGGGAACGGGCGCGGAUACGACGAGUCUGGAGGGGCAUAGGGGGACCUGGAACUUCCGGUGGAGCGGUGAAAUGCGUUGAGAUCGGAAGGAACGCCCGUGGCGAAAGCGAGGUCCUGGAUGCCUACUGACGCUGAGACGCGAAAAGCCAGGGGAGCGAACGGG
rnacentral:rRNA from 1 species